rnacentral:rRNA from 1 species
GACGAACGCUGGCGGCGUGCCUAAUACAUGCAAGUCGAACGAGAGCGACCGGUGCUUGCACUGGUCAAUCUAGUGGCGAACGGGUGAGUAACACGUGGGUAACCUGCCCAUCAGAGGGGGAUAACAUCCGGAAACGGAUGCUAAAACCGCAUAGGUCUUCGAACCGCAUGGUUUGAAGAGGAAAAGAGGCGCAAGCUUCUGCUGAUGGAUGGACCCGCGGUGCAUUAGCUAGUUGGUGAGGUAACGACUCACCAAGGCCGUGAUGCAUAGCCGACCUGAGAGGGUGAUCGGCCACAUUGGGACUGAGACACGGCCCAAACUCCUACGGGAGGCAGCAGUAGGGAAUCUUCCGCAAUGGACGCAAGUCUGACGGAGCAACGCCGCGUGAGUGAAGAAGGUGUUCGGAUCGUAAAACUCUGUUGUUAGAGAAGAACAAGUGCUAGAGUAACUGUUAGCGCCUUGACGGUAUCUAAACAGAAAGCCACGGCUAACUACGUG